ensembl:lncRNA LINC02064 long intergenic non-protein coding RNA 2064
GAGGGCAACGUUAUCAUCUGACUGCUUGUAGCUGUGGAAGGGCGGCGUAGAAGAGGAAAGGCUGGGGGUUUCGGAUGGUUGUUUUUGAAGCCAUCAGUAUUCUUGAAGAAGCAGCAUAUCUUGAACUGUCCUAUGGGUGAAGGCUUUGAUGUGGUCCUGUAAAAACUGGGAAGAUUUGGAGGAUCAUCUGAAUACCCAUCCAACAGAGAUCCAUGAUUCAUGUAUUUCUCAAGACAGCCAUACACUAAAAUUAUAAGAUCAUAAGAAUAUUAAUUAUAUUCUACCAAUGCAAUACAAGCAUUGAAAUGGAUGGCAUCUGAUCCUGCUUCAUGUGAUUCUUCAUUUAGCUCUGGACUCUUUACAUCAUUAAGGCUUUUUCUUUGCAGGAAUUUAAAAGCAACCCUAUGAAUAUAACAUUUGUCAAAAAGAGCAAGUGCCAAGCCAGUUGAGAAUAACCUUACAAUGUGUACAAGGAUUCCAGCUUAUGCAACAUGAAAAUGGCAAGGAUGAAGACCUUUAUGAUGAUCCAUUUCCAUUUAAUGAAUAGAAGAAGUGUUAUCAAUUCUGUUGAUGGACCCCUUAAUCUCUUCUACUGAUUAUCUUCUACUUGAACCAGUGCCAAAUUAAUGUUGCAAGCUUUGUCUUGAAAUAUUUUCUUCUGAGCAUCAGCCAGAGAUCACUGAUUGGUUCACAGGAAUAAGCAGGGUUACUCUAAACUGCUUGAAAAGGAAACCUCAAAAACAACUGAUGAAACUAGAAUUUAAUAACAAGUGUACCAUAAUUCUUGAAACAUAAUUUUUCUCUCUCUAGUCUUUCAUUUUUACCAAAGACAAAUCAUGAAACAUGCACUAACCAGUGGAAAAGCUUGCCUAAGUGAUUGUUGUCAUAAUGACACGGAUUCAAUGAAUAAUUCUAUUCAUGGAAUUUCAUCAGCUUAAUAAGGAAAGAGUAAACAAAACAUCACUAUAACUGUGUACAAA